AGUAAGUGCUUCAGUCGCGCAUGUGUUUCCCAUUAAACAAAAUGAGGUAAAAUGGCGGUUAGCGGAUGGAACAACAACUUGUCUCGUCGACUUCACUCAGAUGUCGCUAGACCGGUGAGGGGUGAGGCUUUGCAGGCUGUUCUCCUCCGUUAGCUCCUCUAGUUGAGCUGCCAGCUGUCUGUGGGACAACUGAACCUCCAGAAGCGCCACCUGACUCUGCUGCAACUGGACAUGGCAGAAGAGUCACAACCAGGCUUAACACCUCCAAGUACAGUGUCUGCUAGCAAGAGAUCUCCUUGCAGCUGCUGAACGUCGCUCUCCAACUCGGCCACGCGACUCUCCCACACCCCCUCUCGACUUUCCAGACGCCAACGCAACUCAUGCUUCUCCUGCUCCAAGUGCUUCGGGGAGAAGAGAAGUGGUACAGAAUUAGAUAUUACAUCAGCAGUUGUCCCAUUUUAAAAUCUGUGUAAAGUAGGGGAUGAGACGGUUUACGAAAAAUGUUCUAACUGUUGGCUUGACCUGGCACAGUUCGGAGCGAAUCUGUUAUUCACAACAUGGGGACGAUGUGGGGACUCGGAUUCCAAUCCGCCCCCCUCACUUUUCCAACAGAGGAUUAAUGUUCCAUUAUUUAGAUGAAUUUUACAUUGCAGAGUCCUAGAGGCUGUGACUGUAGAGGUCUGCUAUGACAGUAACACAACUGAAAUAAAGAAUAACUGAAUGAUGUGAUUUUACAUUACAGAGUCCUAGAGGCUGUGACUGUAGAGGUCUGCUAUGACAGUAACACAACUGAAAUAAAGAAUAACAACUGAAUGAUGUGAUUUUACAUUACAGAGUCCUAGAGGCUGUGACUGUAGAGGUCUAUUGUGACAGUAACACAACUGAAAUAAAGAAUAACAACUGAAUGAUGUCAUUUUACAUCACAGAGUCCUAGAGGCUGUGACUGUAGAGGUCUAUUAUGACAGUAACACACCUGAAAUAAAGAAUAACAACUGAAUGAUGUGAUUUUACAUUGCAGAGUCCUAGAGGCUGUGACUGUAGAGGUCUGCUAUGACAGUAACACAACUGAAAUAA